GACGAACGCUGGCGGCGUGCCUAAUACAUGCAAGUUGAGCGCUGAAGGUUGGUACUUGUACCAACUGGAUGAGCAGCGAACGGGUGAGUAACGCGUGGGGAAUCUGCCUUUGAGCGGGGGACAACAUUUGGAAACGAAUGCUAAUACCGCAUAAAAACUUUAAACACAAGUUUUAAGUUUGAAAGAUGCAAUUGCAUCACUCAAAGAUGAUCCCGCGUUGCAUUAGCUAGUUGGUGAGGGAAAGGCUCACCAAGGCGAUGAUACAUAGCCGACCUGAGAGGGUGAUCGGCCACAUUGGGACUGAGACACGGCCCAAACUCCUACGGGAGGCAGCAGUAGGGAAUCUUCGGCAAUGGACGAAAGUCUGACCGAGCAACGCCGCGUGAGUGAAGAAGGUUUUCGGAUCGUAAAACUCUGUUGGUAGAGAAGAACGUUGGUGAGAGUGGAAAGCUCAUCAAGUGACGGUAACUACCCAGAAAGGGACGGCUAACUACGUG
rnacentral:rRNA from 1 species